AGCCUUAGCUCUCUUACCCUUCAGAUAUAAAUAUUGGCUUCAGUGGCUAAAAAAGGAGGAAAAGUAAAACUGAAAUGGAUUUGGAGUCUUUAAUGACAGGCAAGCUCAUUUCAAAUAUAA
rnacentral:snoRNA from 1 species